GAGAAAGUGAGAGAGAAUGGCGAAGCGUUUUGGGACAAUCGGAGUCCUUCAGGAGGAGGAGCGAGUGGAGGAAGCAUCCAAGGCUCAGCAAUCAGCUCUGUCAUGCCUUUCUCGGUCUUAGCCUCAGAGUCGACGAGCUAGUCUACAACAAACUCCUCCUUCCUCUUCUUCUUUUGCUUCUUCUUCUUCUCACCACUCUUCCCAUUCCUCUGCUUCUCACUGACUCACUGAGACAACUAAAACAAUAACCUCAUCAGGAUGAUGGAUCUGUUAUAUGUAUAUUUUCUCUUUCUAGAAGUAAUGCCCAAGAUGGACAUUUAGCUGCUGGUCGUAAUGGUGUAAAGCGCCUCAGAACUAUAAGUUCUCAUCUGUUUUACUCUUUCAUGUGACAUGAUUGAAGAAUUAAUCAACAAGGGGUAUGAACGUCGAAAUAACGCAGCUGCAAUGCAAACUCUUGUUACUAAUUGGUUGGAAAAUAUCAUGCAAGAGCGCUCAAAUAAUGGCAGAGGCUUACGUGUUAUUCCAUUGAACUUAUACAAGUUUCAAAUUGUUGGCUAUGGCAUGUUCGUUGGAGUAGUCAACUUAGAAAAUAAGACAUGCUCAUGCAAGGAAUUCGACAUUGAUGGAUUUCCUUGUGUCCAUGCAAUUGAAGCAUGUAAGCAUCGACAUAUUUCUCCAUAUAUCCUUUGCUCGGUGCAUUACUAAGUUGACUCACUCUGUGACGCAUAUUCGGAAACCAUAUAUCCUCUUGGAGAUAAAUGUCAGUGGUAUGCUCGAGAUGAUGUCAUAAACCAGCUUGUACUUCCACCUAAGAUUGGCAAACAGUCAGGAAGACCAAGAAAGAAGAGGAUUCAAUCUCAAGGAGAGGAGCAUCUUCAAUAUAGAUGAAGGGGAUGCAAACAGAUUGGUAACAGCAGCCGAUCAUGCUCGGCUGCCGUACCUCUUGAUCGCACUACCAACCAACAGCACCAUUCAACUGAAGGACCAUAAAUUGCUCUACGCUAUAUUAAGCCAAUGGGGGCAUGUUAUGCGGUAUUCGUGUGUUAUGCAAUGUAGUAGGGAAUGCAAUUAGUAGCUCAACUGCUAAUAUGUGUUUUGGCAUAAUAGACGUUGGUUUUAUGUGUUCUUUUGUUGUCAAAUUCAUCU